rnacentral:rRNA from 1 species
GUCUAUGGCCAUGCUACCCAGAACAAGUCUGAUCUCGUCUGAUCUCGGAAGCUAAGCAGGGUCGGGACCGAUUAGUACUUGGAUGGGAGACCACCUAGGGAGACCGGGUGCUGUAGGCA